rnacentral:rRNA from 1 species
CAAGACAACUUUACGGAGUUGACGAUUGACGGAGCGAAGCGACGUCAAAGCGUUCAUUAAAGUCGAGUUGGCUUAGGGAUACGUUCGUUGGGUAGGGGAGCGUUCUGUAAGCCUGUGAAGGUGUGUCGUGAGGCAUGCUGGAGGUAUCAGAAGUGCGAAUGCUGACAUAAGUAACGAUAAAGCGGGUGAAAAGCCCGCUCGCCGGAAGACCAAGGGUUCCUGUCCAACGUUAAUCGGGGCAGGGUGAGUCGACCCCUAAGGCGAGGCCGAAAGGCGUAGUCGAUGGGAAACGGGUUAAUAUUCCCGUACUUGGUGUUACUGCGAAGGGGGGACGGAGAAGGCUAUGUUGGCCGGGCGACGGUUGUCCCGGUUUAAGCGUGUAGGUGUGUGUUCCAGGUAAAUCCGGUUCACUUUAACACUGAG